GUGAUGUUGGCUGGUAUUUCUGAACCGUGACGAAAGACACCAAAUCUGA
rnacentral:snoRNA from 1 species